CCUACGGGCGGCAGCAGUGGGGAAUAUUGCACAAUGGGCGCAAGCCUGAUGCAGCCAUGCCGCGUGUGUGAAGAAGGCCUUCGGGUUGUAAAGCACUUUCAGCGGGGAGGAAGGCGGUGAGGUUAAUAACCUCAUCGAUUGACGUUACCCGCAGAAGAAGCACCGGCUAACUCCGUGCCAGCAGCCGCGGUAAUACGGAGGGUGCAAGCGUUAAUCGGAAUUACUGGGCGUAAAGCGCACGCAGGCGGUCUGUCAAGUCGGAUGUGAAAUCCCCGGGCUCAACCUGGGAACUGCAUUCGAAACUGGCAGGCUAGAGUCUUGUAGAGGGGGGUAGAAUUCCAGGUGUAGCGGUGAAAUGCGUAGAGAUCUGGAGGAAUACCGGUGGCGAAGGCGGCCCCCUGGACAAAGACUGACGCUCAGGUGCGAAAGCGUGGGGAGCAGACAGGAUUAGAUACCCUAGUAGUC
rnacentral:rRNA from 1 species